rnacentral:tRNA from 1 species
GGUUGUGGCUCAGUGGUAGAGCAUUUUCUUAGCAUGUGUGAGGCACUGGGUUCAAUUCUCAGCACCA